UGGGGCAUGGGGGUGAGGUGGGCUGUUUCUAACAGGGAGCAUGGAGGUGGGGGGGCACGAAAUAGAGCCGAGGCCAGCAAAGGAAGAGAUUUUAGACAAAAGAAAAGAGAUGGAUUAGUGGGAAGCUUCCGGGGUCCAAUACAGAUCCAUCUGGGGACAGAUGGUGGGGGAUUUGGAGAGACUUGGUCCUCAUAAGCAGAGAGAAAAGCCAAGACACAUGGCAAGCUAUUUGCCAAUACUUGUGGCUUCCCUUCCUUGGAGUGGGCACUUUCUGAACAUCAUAUCCCAGCUUAAGCCCACAGAGGGACUCCGUGGUAAGAUGGGGGUGGAAAGUAGGAGGCCUGUGCCUUCAGUGGAGAUGAUCUGGGGGCUUCUUAGGUCAGGAUUUCACCCAUUUGAAUGGAGGGGGUGGGGGUAGCAGGAAAUUCAGUUUUCUCUGCAAAUAUUUCAGCUUUUGCUGUAGUAGUAUUUUUAGCAACUUGGUUGGCAGAGGAGGAGCCCGGGUACAUUUUUAAAGGGGCCUCUGCCAGACUGGAGGCCUCCUCCCACCCUCACCCCACAUGUCCUAAAGGAGAGGUGGGGGGGGGGAGUACAUGGCUCAAGGUGCAUUCAAAUCAGCUUUGCUGGUCAUUAGCUGAUCAUUAAGUGGUCUUCACCAAUAGUCAUUAUCAACCAUCAGCGGCACCAUUAUCAUUAGCAGCUUUAUCAAGAAGAGGAAAUACUCCUUGCACUUCUGUUGUGUGCAGGGCACUAUUAGGGGCACAACACAGAAGGUCUAAUAUACUUGGAAAGAUGGGGAAGGACCCAACACUUGUGAGUGAGUCCUAGAUGUCAUGUGCCGUGCUAGCCACGUUAUAUAUGUGGUUUCAUUUAAUUCUUACAACAAUCCUACAACUUAGUCAUUGUAUUUCCAGUUUAUAGACGAAGAAGCAAAGGGAUUGAAGAACUUACCCAAGGUUAUAUCGCCACUAAAUGGAAGAAUCUAGAUCAAAACUCAGAGCAGAAUAAUAACAUUAUCCUAAAUCUGGAUAGUGCUUUACAAAGUGCUUCCAAAUUCACGAUUUAAUUUGCUGCUCCUGAGAACUGUGUGAAGAGGUAUUAGUAUUUUUUAACCUCUUUUUCUGAGGACAAAGUAAGGCCUAGAAAGGUUAAAUGACUUGUCCAGAAUGAGACCUCUGGUGAACUGCAGAACCAGGACUAAAAGGGCAGAAAGAAACUCUUAUCCAGGAGAUGGAGACCCUCUUACUGUCGUCGAGAAUGAGCAUCUCUUGGAGUCUGUGUAUGCGCCAAUACAGAUGAGGCAUAUGGCUUGAGAUGGUGUUACCAACAAUCAGCUUCUACUGCAUUUCCGUAUGAACUUCUGUGAGAGCAGUAUAUGUUGGUAUGGAAAGGUGUCUUACUCUAAACUUCAAAAGGAAGGAGAAUUGACAGAAUUGCCCUAGCAGACUGUCAUCCAAUAUGGCCAAGAUAUGGGGGAACAGAUACUGGAAUUCAGCCAUUGUAAAGCCGGGGUGGCAGGCCAUCUGUCUGCAAGAGAAAGCUUUCUUAAAGGUCCCACCCAAAAUGAAAGACACAUCACACACCCCUGGAACUGGAUGACACAGGAAUAUGAUGGAAGCACUGAAAGUAAGGGAUUAUUAACUACAAGCUUUUGUUAUUCUGUAAUUUGGAUGGAGCAUUUGAGUUUAACGAGGUGAGCUUCCAUGCUUGGGGAACCAGAAUGCUUCCACAUGCAACUGAGCAGAGCCCUGAGCUCCUUGAGGACAAAGCUCCUUUGUUCAGGAUCUCACUCUGCAUCCUUCAUUUGGCUGUUGAUUUGCAUCCUUUAUCAUAUCCUGUAAUAAACUGGUAAAUGUAAGUAAGUGUUUCCAUGGGUUCUGUAAGCUGCUCUAGCAAAUUAAUCAAACCUAGGGAUGAGGUCAUUGGAGCCUCCAAUCUGUAGCUGGUGGGCCAGAAGCAAAAGUAGCAGCCUGGGGCUUGUGACUGUUAUCUUAAGUGGGGGAUGGGGGACAGUCUUGUAGGACUGAACCCUUAACCUGUGGAAUCUGAUGUUAUCUCUGGGUAUUUAGCAUCAGAAUUGAGUGGAAUUCUCAGACACCAGCAGGCUAUCUGAGAAUUGCUUGGCAUUGUGUGUGUGUGUGUGUGUGUGUGUGUGUGUGUGAGAUCUCCCCCCCCCCCCAUUGGAAUUGGGUUUGGGAACCCUAAAAGAGAAGGUAACACUGAUUUCUGUGAGGUUUUGAAGGAAAAGCCAAGCCUCCAUCUUUAAGGCAGGCCUGGAGAGAAGUGGCAAGGGAAAGGAGGAAACAUAAGCCAUCCUUGGAGAUGAGGUGUCUUGACAGAGUUGGAAAUCCUUAUAGGAAUCUAGAAGUGGCUUAAAAUUUUUUUCAUGUUUAUUUAUUUUGAAAGAGAGAGAACACAUGCAUGUGAAAGUGGAGGAGGGGCACAGAGAGAGGGAGAGAGAGAAUCUCAAGCUGGCACCGCACUACAGGCACAGAGCCCGUGUGAUCAUGACAUGACCUGAGCCGAAAUCAAGAGUCAGAUGCUUAACUGACUGAACCAGAAUCUGGAGGUUUUCAUCUAAGAUGGGGACACUGGUGCUCUGUGUGUGUUAGGUUGAGUUACAUGGCCUAAUCUUUUAGGCAUAGAAGAAGAAGACUGUUGUUUUGCUCCCGGAUAGCUUGACAAUGCUUGUAAAGGUGUCAGCACUGGGAGAUGGUGCUGUUCCGGGAAGCGCAAGAAAGAGGCCUGGAUGGGGCCUGGGUCUGGGAUGGGUGGCUUCUGAGUGUUUUGGACGCCUUUGGGAAGGAGGUCCCAUGCGAGGUGCUCCCCUCACCCUUCCCUUUUCUGUCUUUCUUAAAAUACCCUGUGUUCCUGCAGCAGUGCGCUGCUAAUCUAAAAUAAAAACAGCAGGAAAUGCAAAUGGUCAGGUUCUCCUAGCAACAGGAGCCAACCCACGCAGGGCGUGUGGAGCAGAGCAGAGCUGUCCCAAGGCUGGGAUGCGGAUGGCUGGGCAAGGGGCAAGUCUCCUCUUACAGCUUCGUCCUCUAAUGUCAUGGAGUGGCUGUCUGGUGGGCACCUGCUGCACAGAAGAAACUUUCCAGGAACUGGAUGGGGGCAGAGGUGCUGGGGAGCAGGUGCAAGGGUAGGGGAGAUAGACAAUGGCAGUGGUUGGAACCGGUGCUUCUCAGAGCCUGACGCUAGAGGACUAACUAGGUGCGUGACUGAGGAAGGGCCUGGAUUUGUGUGCCUCUUUCUGUGUGUUUGUUUCAAUCAGGCCACAGAGUCUUGUCAUUCCUAAGGUUAUGAAAAAAAAGGAAGUAAGGUUUCCCCCGCUAUCCAAAAGUAGAGCUUUCCUAAGAAACCAUUCCUAAAUCGAAAUGGUGCAAAAUGGUAUAAAUUGCAAAGAAGCAAUUACAUGUUAAUUUAUACGGAACAUUUUUUAGCAGUAGCAGACCCCAAAAAUAACCUCUCUUAGGACUUUCUGAUACCUUAGGACACAUCUUGCUGACGGGUGCACAACAUAAAUCAAGAAAAAGCUAGCUGCUCGCAGACACACGUCAAAGCUCUGGUGGGGUCGCGCUCACUGUUUGGGGGCACGGAUGUGUGCACUGCCUCUUUGGAACAAACACGCAACACUAUUUUCGCUUUUGGCCUUUUGUCAUAAAAGCGAAAAUCCUCUUUGGAUUUCUUUCAGUUAGCGAAAACAGGUGCUAUGAUAUGUCUUUGGUAAAAGCAAAGUGGUGGAAGGCGAACUUUCAGGAAGUGGAGGAUACCUGUAAAAGAGGAUCCGGUUCCUAGGUAAGGGGAUCAAAAUCAGGAAACUGCAAAGAACUGGUAGAGACAUCUGGCUCGAUCCCUUUCUGUUAAAAAUGAAGAAACCGAGUUCCAGAGAGUUAAGUGACUUUCCCAAGACAGAUCUAAUUAGUGGCAGAAGUGGUGCCAGGAAACAGCUCGCCAGGCCAAGACUCUUUCCAUUUUAAGUCAAAGCUGCUGUUGGCAAUCCUUUGUACACAGCUAGAUAAUUAGAAGCCAUGAUAACCUUACUGGGACCCUGGGGGAAAAAGGUCU